GGCUCCAUAGUGUAGUGGCUAUCACUCUGGACUUUGAAUAAAAUAGGAUUUCCGUUUGUUCAUUAUGAAAAAAAAUCACAUGAAAAAGAUGUUAUCCAGCAACCCGAGUUCGAAUCUCGGUGGGGCCU
rnacentral:tRNA from 1 species